AGGCUGUAGGUUCUGAUGCUCUGGGAAGGGUCAGUAAUUGACUGGAUCUCCUGGCAUGGGAUUUAGAAGUAUACCAGUCAGUCAUUGGUUGGACUCUCCCUCAAUCUCUGUGCCACCCAAAUGUCAGCACAUUCCAUAGGCAAGGCUUCUAUUGGUGGACUGAAACUCAUUCAAGUGUUGUUGGCCAGAGAGUAAGACCAAGGAUUGCAGUCGACAAACAGUCAUUGCUGUGACUACACCCAUAUAAUUCAAAGAACAUGGAGAAGUCAAGUUGCUGACUACAUGGAGUCUUCACCCCUACAUUCAAGCAUUUAUCCCUAUAUGUGGCUCCAGGUCUUUACUCUGAAGACCAAUUGGAAUUCACUGCAG